UGGUGGAGCGAUUUGUCUGGUUAAUUCCGAUAACGAACGAGACUCUGGCCUAUUAAAUAGUUCGCCGAUUCCGAUCUGUCGGCGUUAACUUCUUAGAGGGACAAGUGGCUUUUAGCCACGCGAGAUUGAGCAAUAACC
rnacentral:rRNA from 1 species